AUGGCCGGCCGCCGCCGCAGCCGAUCCCGAAUCCACACCAGCGACGACGACGACGGGGCGACCCGUCCCAGCCGCCGCCGCCGCCGCGCGGAGGUGGCUGUCCCUCUGCCGGACGGCGGCGAUACCCUGUCGGAGUCGCUGCAGGACGACAGCAGACCUCCUCCUGCGCCAUCGGAGUCGCUGCCGUUGCCGUUGGACAUGCUUUGGAAGAUCCUCCUCCUUCUGCCACCGCAGCCGUCCUCCCGCCUCCGCGCAUCCGCCGUCUCCCGGCGCUGGCGAGGCGUCGCCACCGACCCCAACUUUAAAAGCCAGUUCCGUGUCCACCGCAGGAACUGCAAGCCGCCACCCAUUCUCGGAUUAUUUGUGCGCCGAUGGAAGAUGGAGUUCAGGCAGGGCUUCCUCCACCCUUCCGACCGUGUCCCUGCCGAGCGCUUCUCCAUCCCGUCCCGCUACGACAUCCGUGGGUGCCGACAUGGUCGUGUGCUCGCUGUACACCGUGAGUAUGCAAAGCUUCUUGUGUUUGCCCCACUCUCUGGCGAGGUGUGCACCCUGUCCGUUCCCGAUGAGUUCAGGCCACCGUCUUGCUUCCACCUCAAUGGGGCGGUGCUCUGUGAUGCCAACGACCACGGCCAUGUUCAUGGCAUGUGCCACCAGAGCCCCUUCAAGGUGGUAUUGCUUUCAAGGUAUUCUAUGGAAGAUCGAUUCAUUACCUCUGUUUACUCGUCAAGGUCCAAAAAAUGGAGUGUCGUCGUUUCAAAAGAGGCUCCAUGCUCCGUUGAUUCUGACGUUCCGGCGAUCCUGGUUAAUAAUCGACUCUACUGGCUGCUUUCGUCUAAAGCCCGUGGUCUCCUUGAGUUUGAUUUGGAUAGGCAGAGCCUAACUGUGAUCGAGUGGCCUACUAGUAUGAUUGAUUCCGGAAGCCAUGGGAUGAUCAAAACAGAGGAAGGCGCAGUUGGCUUGGUCAGGUUUUCAUUCCCGAGCCUAGAAAUAUGGCAGAGGAAGAUCAAUCAGGGUGUUGCCACGUGGUUGGAUCCAAGGAUAGUUGAUAUGCAUAACGUUCUUGGGAUCCCCCCUCAGAUUGGUAGGAGAAGAUGGCCAUGCAGUUUGAGAGGCUAUGAGGAGGAAAACCAUGUGAUCAUUCUGUAUGUUGAUGAUAGUGCCUACAUGGUUGAUCUUAAGUCAAUGCAAUCCACAAAACUUGAUGGAAGCCGUUCGAUGAAUCGCUGUCACCCUUUCACCAGUUUCUAUCCACCAGACAUGGCCAUAUAA
rnacentral:rRNA from 1 species